rnacentral:rRNA from 1 species
AGAAUCAACGCUGGCGGCGUGCCUAACACAUGCAAGUCGAGCGCGAAAGGGGGGGCAACUCCCCAAGUAGAGCGGCGAACGGGUGAGUAACGCGUGGGUCAUCUACCUUCGAGUGGGGAAUAACAGCGGGAAACUGCUGCUAAUACCGCAUGACAUCGUCGGGCUUACGGCCUGACGAUCAAAGCCGGGGACCGCAAGGCCUGGCGCUUGAAGAGGAGCCCGCGUCCGAUUAGCUAGUUGGCGGGGUAACGGCCCACCAAGGCGACGAUC